rnacentral:snRNA from 1 species
UGUCCUCCAUAGGAGGUCUAUAUCGAGCAGAUUCUUUUUGGUAUUGGGUGGUGGAACCGGAGCGUGCUCCAUCCACUCCAUGCAUUGACCUGGUAUUGCAGUGCCUCCAGGACCGGUGC